GGGCGUGUAGCUCAGUGGUAGAGCGCUCGCUUUGCAUUAGUCAGUGUGCGAGAGGUGAGUUACGGUAGAUAACGUUUCGUGCCAUUAUUAGCCGUGGUCUGACCAGAUUAGGCCUGGAUUUCGAUCAUCCACCCGUCCA